GUAUUUAUGAUGCGUUCAUCAGCUGUAGUUGUUUGAUGCAGGUUGACGUGGAUUUUACUGUAAACAUGCUUUGAAAGGUUCUCCCAUCGAUAAAAUCAUCUGGGAUAUUCAAACAUGUACAAUGUAUGUCCACAUCCAUGGGGGUGAUGAACGAUUUUACCCUGAUGACAGCCAAAAUAAUCCCUAAACUUUGCAAAAUUUACUGAAUGCUUUUGGGUGACCAUCUUUUCUAAAUUAAAAGCUUUAUGUACCAUCUUUUCUAAAGUUGCUCCAAGAUCUCACAAAUACAUUUAAAAACAUUUAGAAAAUCAAUAUUCUAAAUACAGCAGAAUAAUGAGAUAUGCCCUAUUAGAAUUAUUGUUUGUUGAGCACAAAAAGUAGCCAUUGAAAAAAAUGAAAGGAAAGAAAUAAACCCUAAAAUUUAGCAAUGGCCAAAAUGUGGCAAAAUAUGCCCCUAAAAAUGAAAUUAUUUCCUACAUUGAUAUACAUGAAGAUACACACCAGUUUUCAUUAUGAAAGCCCAUACUUUUUUCUUGUUUAAUAUCCUUAUAUGACAUAUUUCAGUCUGCCCACAUACAUGUAGAAUAAAUUAUGAGUUAUUCAUUAGUAGUGAGGAGAGUGUUUUAAUUUGGUUUUAACAAAUAACACUAUUAUGUGGAGAUCAAGCUGAUUCUGUAAAUUAGGUCAAAUAUAUUUUUAUUGAUGAAACACAAAACUUUUUGUUUACUUGUUUGUUUAUCUUUUUUUUCAUUUGCAGAUGAGGAGGAGGAAGUCACAUUGAUGUAUGCACAACAUGAGAGGAUUCCAAUGAAAGACUUCAGUGCAGAGGUCAGAGCCACCCUCGAUGUAGGAAACUUUGUGAAUCGAGCCACACUUCUUCUGGACAUCAACCAGACAAGUUUAGAAUCCAUAGUCACCCUUCUCCUGGCCAAGAUGCUAGCUGGAGAUGAACGCUCGGACAUGAUCAUGAAGGAAGGUCGGGCUGCAUUGAUGACCCAUGAUUCGGGUAAGAGACUCUCAGUGUAGGAUAUGAAUCUUAGACCAUUCAAGAAUCCAAAGUGACCCUUAUUCUAGCCAAGGUGUUGGCAGGAGGUGACCUGGAAAAGACCAACAUGAUCUUGGUUUAAGGUCAGGCUGCAUUGAUGAUGGGUGAUUUUCAUUCUAGAAUAUGAAAUUUAGCCCAAUUAAAAAUCAGUAGUGACCCUUCUCUUUUACAUGAUGUUGGCUGGAAACGAAUGCUCUGAUAUGAUCAUGAAGGAAGGUCAAGCUGCAUUGAUGAUCCAUGAUUGUGAUUCUCAAUGGAAGAUAUGAAUUUUAGACAAAUCUAUAAUCUUUAAUAGUGACCCUUAUCCUAGCCAAGGUGUAGGCUGGAGAUGAAAGGACUUAGAUGAUCUUGAUGGAGGUCAGACUACAUCGAUGACCCACUAUGAUCCUCAGGCUCGGAUUUAAAUUAUGAAAAAGGCUUAAACCAGUGUACAAACCAUAGUCUUCCUCUCUUUAUAGUCAAGAUAUGUUGAGGAUUAGGAAUCAAGAAUCUGACAUGAUAAUGAAUAAAGGUCAUUUUCAGUCAUUAAUAUGCUAGUUGACCAUUUUUAAUCCAUGGUGACCCUUUGAUGUGCAAGAUCUUGGUUGAAUAUUAAAAUUAAAGUAAUUUAUUAGUUGACUUUACUAAAUAUUUUUUUUUACUGCAAAGUCAUCUUUCUCAGAGAAUCAGCUACAUCUCUGCUUUGUUAAAAGCACAGUACUUUAACCUUUGCUCACAUGACUUAACUGACAUUAAAUCCUCAAAGAAUUUGGUGAAGAAUGUCACCAGAGCCACUCUAAUGUUGCCACCCAAUCAGUCUCGUCACUCAGAGGGGAACAUGUGACGAGCCCUCGCCAUCAUGUUUCGGGUGACACAAAUGAGCGUAGUGUUUACGUCAUAUUCCAUGCAGAUGUUGUAAUUAUAUGUGGCGUUGAGAAGUUUGAACCGGCUUUAUUUAUAUUCACCUGGGCUCCCUCUUUUCCAUUCCUUCUGUUUCGGUUCAGAAAAAAAAAUGAAGGAAAUAUGCCUAAGGCUCGACUGAGAUUUGGAAAGGAGAAGGUGAAUGCGUAAGUUGUGCUAAUCGAUAUCACUCGCAUUUGCAUUGAAAUCAGUGCAAAUAGAUCUGCCAAUUUCAAUAUUUCCACGUUUUGUUUGCUAACCUCUCUCCUAAAACCCAAGUUGCUUUUGACCAAGUUAGAAGAUGAUAUGGUUGAUCACAAUGUCAAUGUUUUAUAUCGCCUUACUCAUAAAUAUUCAUACAAAGGAGUGUGGCCCCUUUGUAGAUAAAAUAGAGAAUUGGCUGUGAGAUUAGAUUUUGAAAGAAACUUUUUUAAAGUGAUUGUGAAAUGUAGAUUAUAAUGUCCUUUAAACUGAGUAGUGUAUAGGAUGAUGUGAUGUUAUUUAGUCUCCAAACCAAGCUUUAUGAACAAUUUUAUGAAACCAACCACCAGAUGUGUCAUGCAGUUUUCAGGCAAAAAUCUUAAGAGGGCCAUGAUAGUCUAUUUUCAGGCAGUAAUUUAUGUUAUUUUUGUAAAGACGGAAAGAAGUUUUCUUAAAAUUAUUCAUUUUCAACAAUCUAGGCAACACUGUAAAGUGCUUUGUUGUAUUCAAGUCUUAUGUUUCCUCAAAGAAGAUUUUCUGUCAUCAAUCUACUCCUUAUUCAUGAAAAAAGAGAGGGAGAUGUGUACAUCAAACAUCACUUACAAUACCUCUCAAAUUGAUAUAGAUCUUGCCCAAAUGAACAGUCUUUGAAGAAAAGAAUAAAUUCAUCAGUCCUGGUUAUUUAUAGCGGAUUGCUUUCAUGAUAAAAGCAUCCUAAGUGUAAUAACAGAGAGAUGAUAUAUUCAUUCAUCGGCUAUCGUUCUCUCUCUCUUGCGAAUCCUCCUGCCGCCGCCGCCGUUACUCAAGAAAAAAGCUUCAUAAAUUUAUUCACUAUGUAGAACUCACUCAUAAUAUUACUCUUCCCAAGGUGUUUAUUCUCUUGAUGAAAAACAAAAGAAUUUGGUUGCUAUGUAUCUCAGUUUGGUUUUAGAUCUUAAAGCCUUUAUUAAGUUGAUAAUAUAUAAUAUAUAAAGGUUAUUUACAGAUGUAUAUUCAAAAUUUGUGAAUCAAUUCUUCACUUUCAGAUAAGAUGAAAGAGUAUACCAUAGAUCAUGCACUAUGGGGAAAAGAUGCAAUUGAAAAUCUAUUCUUUGUGGGUGAUUGUACAAUAUAAAUUAAAAACAAGGAGGGAAGGCAAACUAAAACAUGAAAUAGGAAAGGGGUAAGAAUGAAAAAGAUAGAGGGAGAGAGAAAGAAAUAAUAGAGAGGGGGCAGAAAUUGAGGAAAAAGAAUAGUGGGAGACAGUGAGAAAGGGAAAUGAAGAAAAUGGAGAAAUAGAAAAAUAGAGAGGAAAGAGACC